UACGUAGGGUGCGAGCGUUAAUCGGAAUUACUGGGCGUAAAGCGUGCGCAGGCGGUUCUGAAAGUCAGCUGUGAAAGCCCCGGGCUUAACUUGGGAACGGCGGUUGAAACUACAGGACUAGAAUCUGGCAGAGGGGGGUGGAAUUCCACGUGUAGCAGUGAAAUGCGUAGAGAUGUGGAGGAACACCGAUGGCGAAGGCAGCCCCCUGGGCUGAGAUUGACGCUCAGGCACGAAAGCGUGGGGAGCAAACAGG
rnacentral:rRNA from 1 species